AUGUCAGAGGCGGCCAUUUCUAU
rnacentral:miRNA from 1 species